UCGGGUAAGAUUGUGAUAACCGAGGGCAAGGUGAGAGGUGACACAUAUACAAUGUUUGAGAAUAUAUAUCCUGCGCUUACAGAAUUCGUCCAACAAAAUCCGCGGCCGACUUAUUCCGAUGUCUGGGUCUUUGCGGAUUUGUAGCGGUAGCAGUAUCCGAAGCGCCAAGUGCAGUCACUUUUGUAUUGCCCUUUUGAGUAAUUAUGAAUUGUGAGAUGAAGGAAAAAGAGGAGCGGAAAUUGAUUCAAUUUGGCUGAUUGUUUACAUAUUUGCUCUCAUCAUUUGAAAAAAAAAGAUAUAUUUCUGGAUUCUUCUGCAUGUUUUUUAUCAAGAGACCAAUUUCAUGGUCCAAGGUCAAAUUCAUCGGAAGUAAUUUCAAUUAUUUUCACAACUAAUCAAAGUUUAUAAGCAAUUUCUUUAUGCGUUAACCCUUUUACCGCAUUUAAUAAAUGCAUUCCAGCUCCUCUUACGUAGGUUCUGGAGUUACAUCUGUGCAGCUCGGCGAUCCACGGCGAAGCCAACGACAGCUAUGGAAGAGGAGGAGGAAGAAGAAAAAAAGGCAGUAGACGCAGAAGGAACAGAAACACAUUCAACGACUAUUUCCAAGACUCAUCAAUCGGAGAAAACAAUGACGCGACCAAACGAGGAGGUGGGUCCACAAUGAGGAUGAGGAAAUUCAGCGGUAGGAGCAUCGGGUUUAACCGUAGAGGUCAAAGUUUUUGAAUUCAAGGAGGAGCAUGUACAGGGGAAGAAGCUCGCCAUUAACAUGCAAAACCUCGAGUUCUUUAGCAGCGGUCAUGGUUUAGAUGCUUUCGUAAAUAGGCACACAUGUAUGGAUCACUGAGGAGGAGGAGAACAACGUUUUGGUGGGAGUCAUUGACUAUGUUGAUAUUUUGGGCGUUGUAAUUGUGGCACCUUCUGCUUUGGUUUCUCUUUGUGUCCA